CCUACGGGAGGCAGCAGUGGGGAAUAUUGGACAAUGGGGGGAACCCUGAUCCAGCCAUGCCGCGUGUGUGAAGAAGGCCCUCGGGUUGUAAAGCACUUUCAGUGAGGAAGAACGCCUGGUGGUUAAUACCCAUCAGGAAAGACAUCACUCACAGAAGAAGCACCGGCUAACUCCGUGCCAGCAGCCGCGGUAAUACGGAGGGUGCGAGCGUUAAUCGGAAUUACUGGGCGUAAAGCGCGCGUAGGUGGCUUGAUAAGCCGGUUGUGAAAGCCCCGGGCUCAACCUGGGAACGACAUCCGGAACUGUCAAGCUAGAGUGCAGGAGAGGAAGGUAGAAUUCCCGGUGUAGCGGUGAAAUGCGUAGAGAUCGGGAGGAAUACCAGUGGCGAAGGCGGCCUUCUGGACUGACACUGACACUGAGGUGCGAAAGCGUGGGUAGCAAACAGGAUUAGAUACCCUUGUAGUC
rnacentral:rRNA from 1 species